UCUCACUGUAAAUAAAAUCCAGCAGUUUUUGUCCAGGGCUACACUGAAGACAACCCGUUCAAGAGAAACAAGCAAAUAUGAAAUCCUUGUCUGUGGCUGUUGUCGUGCUGCUGCUGGUGCUGUCGUUACACUGUGAGGACAGUGUGGUUGAUGGAACACGCUGUUAUAAUGGAAGAGGAUUCUGUACAACAUACAGCGAUUGCCGGAGAUUUGGGGGACUUCCCAUUAGUAGACGAGAAUGUAGAUAUUUAAGGUGUUGUAUAUGACUCAUGGCAAGUAUCUUCAGAGAAUCCAUGGCUCGAUUCUCCAAAAUCAUAACCAAGUCUAAUGGGACGUCACCAAGAGGACUCCAAUCUUACUUCGGACUCCAAUCAAGAAACAGGAAAGCUGUUGGUGCAGUGAUAAUGAAGACUUUCAGGCAUCAACAAAAGAUCAUAUUCACUAAGUCAAACUUAUUAUAACUACUGUUUUUUUAUAGAUAAACUUUGUUAAAGAUUUACAACCAAGUCAAUUUUAAAGAUUUACUGCAAUUCUGAUUUUCUGAGGUGUUCAACGCAAUCCUUUGUAAAUGUUUAAUUAAAUUAAUUUACUUAAAUUAAUAAGACCAUGUGGACUAUGUAAUGUGUUAACUGUAUUAAUCACUCUGUGGCAGUUAAUAAAUUGUAUUUUAUUUA